rnacentral:lncRNA from 1 species
GAAUUCACUUAAAUACACCAUACAUGGAGAACCGUUCUCGGCAGAGAAAUGAUAAUGCCAUUGUUGAUAACAAUGGCAUAUCUGCUGCUAUAAUUAAAACGCUUGUUCCUUCUUCUCAUUAGCAUACAAGUACCAUAAAAAAUCUAACAGAAGUCUGUCAGCUGUUUUUCUCAUUAGCAUACAGGUACAACAUCUCAGAGUGUUCAGAAGUUAGCAUCUGAAUCACAAUAAUGGAAUAUUCCCAAGAAAUUGUAACAUCUAAUGACAUUUC